rnacentral:rRNA from 1 species
AUUUGAGAGUUUGAUCCUGGCUCAGGACGAACGCUGGCGGCGUGCCUAAUACAUGCAAGUUGAGCGCUGAAGGUUGGUACUUGUACCGACUGGAUGAGCAGCGAACGGGUGAGUAACGCGUGGGGAAUCUGCCUUUGAGCGGGGGACAACAUUUGGAAACGAAUGCUAAUACCGCAUAAAAACUUUAAACACAAGUUUUAAGUUUGAAAGAUGCAAUUGCAUCACUCAAAGAUGAUCCCGCGUUGUAUUAGCUAGUUGGUGAGGUAAAGGCUCACCAAGGCGAUGAUACAUAGCCGACCUGAGAGGGUGAUCGGCCACAUUGGGACUGAGACACGGCCCAAACUCCUACGGGAGGCAGCAGUAGGGAAUCUUCGGCAAUGGACGAAAGUCUGACCGAGCAACGCCGCGUGAGUGAAGAAGGUUUUCGGAUCGUAAA